CUACGGGAGGCACCAGUGGGGAAUAUUGCACAAUGGGCGCAAGCCUGAUGCAGCAACGCCGCGUGAGGGAUGAAGGCCUUCGGGUUGUAAACCUCUUUUAGCAGGGAAGAAGCGAAAGUGACGGUACCUGCAGAAAAAGCACCGGCUAACUACGUGCCAGCAGCCGCGGUAAUACGUAGGGUGCAAGCGUUGUCCGGAAUUAUUGGGCGGAAAGAGCUCGUAGGCGGUUUGUCGCGUCUGCUGUGAAAAUCCAAGGCUCAACCUUGGACUUGCAGUGGGUACGGGCAGGCUAGAGUGCGGUAGGGGAGAUGGGAAUUCCUGGUGUAGCGGUGGUAUGCGCAGAUAUCAGGAGGAACACCAAUGGCGAAGGCACAUCUCUGGGCCGUAACUGACGCUGAGGAGCGAAAGCGUGGGGAGCGAACAGGAUUAGAUACCCUAGUAGUC
rnacentral:rRNA from 1 species